rnacentral:tRNA from 1 species
CAGGGAGACAACAAAAUGUUUAAUAUUAUUAUUUUGUCACCUUAGGUCGAUCGGUAUCUCACGUUCUUAAUCCUAUUAAGAAUUUCAUUUCCUAAGUUUUUCUAGGUCACACCCAUUAUUUUUCCUGGGCCAUUAGCUCAGGUGGUUAGAGCGCACCCCUGAUAAGGGUGAGGUCCCUGGUUCAAGUCCAGGAUGGCCCAUAUCUCUAUGUUGGGGGUAUAGCUCAGUUGGUAGAGCGCCUGCUUUGCAAGCAGGAUGUCAGCGGUUCGAGUCCGCUUACCUCCACUGAUUACCACCUCUGCCAUAAUUUUUAAAAAGGAAAUAUUUUGAGUUGUGAUCAAAUUCUGAACGAAUCUAGCUUCCUAGUGAAAUCAUUAAGAUGCUGGACUCAUUGAAUUAAUUUCAUUGUUUUCAGAGAACCUUGACAACUGCAUAGAUUAUUUUUAAAGACAAUAAGCAUCUUUAUGAUGCAGAUUUAUUAUUUGUGCGAAUGCAUUAAUAACAAUUCUAUUAAGCUGAUGCUUCAAUUUUGAAGUUAUUG